rnacentral:misc_RNA from 1 species
UACAAAAUUUGCUACUGGU